AUCAAUGUAAGAUAAAAAAAAACUUAAUUCAAAUAGUUUGGGGGUGGGGGUUGAACUGCUGCAAGAUUUGGUUAUCCGACAUUGAUUUUUACAUAUAUCCAUAUGGGUCAAUCAAUUUUUCCCAAAUUAAGUUAAUAGGGGUAGGGGGUCAGUCAGUGAAAACUAUUUGAAUUAAGUUUUUUAUCCUUCAUUGAACUUUUGAUGUCGUCCCUUAAAUAGUAUAAA
rnacentral:lncRNA from 1 species